rnacentral:rRNA from 1 species
GACGAACGCUGGCGGCGUGCUUAACACAUGCAAGUCGAACGGAAAGGCCCUGCUUUUGUGGGGUGCUCGAGUGGCGAGCGGGUGAGUAACACGUGAGUAACCUGCCCUUGACUUUGGGAUAACUUCAGGAAACUGGGGCUAAUACCGGAUAGGAGCUCCUGCUGCAUGGUGGGGGUUGGAAAGUUUCGGCGGUUGGGGAUGGACUCGCGGCUUAUCAGCUUGUUGGUGGGGUAGUGGCUUACCAAGGCUUUGACGGGUAGCCGGCCUGAGAGGGUGACCGGCCACAUUGGGACUGAGAUACGGCCCAGACUCCUACGGGAGGCAGCAGUGGGGAAUAUUGCACAAUGGGCGGAAGCCUGAUGCAGCAACGCCGCGUGCGGGAUGACGGCCUUCGGGUUGUAAACCGCUUUCGCCUGUGACGAAGCGUGAGUGACGGUAAUGGGUAAAGAAGCACCGGCUAACUACGUGCCAGCAGCCGCGGUGAUACGUAGGGUGCGAGCGUUGUCCGGAUUUAUUGGGCGUAAAGGGCUCGUAGGUGGUUGAUCGCGUCGGAAGUGUAAUCUUGGGGCUUAACCCUGAGCGUGCUUUCGAUACGGGUUGACUUGAGGAAGGUAGGGGAGAAUGGAAUUCCUGGUGGAGCGGUGGAAUGCGCAGAUAUCAGGAGGAACACCAGUGGCGAAGGCGGUUCUCUGGGCCUUUCCUGACGCUGAGGAGCGAAAGCGUGGGGAGCGAACAGGCUUAGAUACCCCGGUAGUCCACGCUGUAAACGGUGGGUACUAGGUGUGGGGUCCAUUCCACGGGUUCCGUGCCGUAGCUAACGCUUUAAGUACCCCGCCUGGGGAGUACGGCCGCAAGGCUAAAACUCAAAGGAAUUGACGGGGCCCCGCACAAGCGGCGGAGCAUGCGGAUUAAUUCGAUGCAACGCGUAGAACCUUACCUGGGUUUGACAUGGAUCGGGGGUGCUCAGAGAUGGGUGUGCCUCUUUUGGGGUCGGUUCACAGGUGGUGCAUGGCUGUCGUCAGCUCGUGUCGUGAGAUGUUGGGUUAAGUCCCGCAACGAGCGCAACCCUUGUUCACUGUUGCCAGCACGUUAUGGUGGGGACUCAGUGGAGACCGCCGGGGUCAACUCGGAGGAAGGUGGGGAUGACGUCAAGUCAUCAUGCCCCUUAUGUCCAGGGCUUCACGCAUGCUACAAUGGCUGGUACAGAGAGUGGCGAGCCUGUGAGGGUGAGCGAAUCUCGGAAAGCCGGUCUCAGUUCGGAUUGGGGUCUGCAACUCGACCUCAUGAAGUCGGAGUCGCUAGUAAUCGCAGAUCAGCAACGCUGCGGUGAAUACGUUCCCGGG